GUCCCUGUAGCGCAAUGGAUAGCAUAUUGGACUUCUAAUCCAAAGAUCGUGGGUUCGAAUCCUACCUGGGAUG